rnacentral:rRNA from 1 species
UAAGGAAUAUUGCUCAAUGGGAGAAAUCCUGAAGCAGCAACGCCGCGUGGAGGAUGAAGGGUUUUUAACUUGUAAACUCCUGUAAAGAAGGAAAAAAUUCCCAUUAGAUGGGAAAUGAUGGUACUUCUGGAGUAAGCCCCGGCUAACUACGUGCCAGCAGCCGCGGUAAUACGUAGGGGGCAAGCGUUGUCCGGAUUUACUGGGUGUAAAGGGUGCUCAGGCGGAUUUGUAAGUCAGAGGUGAAAUCUCACAGCUUAACUGUGAAACUGCCUUUGAUACUGCAAGCCUAGAGUAUGGAAGAGAGUGAUGGAAUAUCUGGUGUGCAGUGAAAUGCGUAGAUAUCAGAUAGAACACCAAUGGCGAAGGCAGUCACUUGGUCCAUAACUGACGCUAAAGCACGAAAGCGUGGGUAGCAAACAGGAUUAGAUACCCUGGUAGUCCACGCCCUAAACGAUGAAUACUAGAUGUUGGCUUCGCAUGAAGUCAGUAUCUGAGCUAACGCAUUAAGUAUUCCACCUGGGAAGUACGAUCGCAAGGUUGAAACUUAAAUGAAUUGACGGGGUCAUAGCUGUUUCCUG